rnacentral:misc_RNA from 1 species
AAGUCGUAACAACGUUUCCGUAGGUGAACAGCGGGAGGAUCAUUAACACGUAUCCAGACGUUAAAACCCCCCCCGUGAACCUUCAUCCUGCUCUUGUAACCCGCGUAGUUCGCAAUCUCUGAUAAAUCAUAGCCCGGAAAGUUGUAGUGAUUCAGAGACCUCUGGCUACAUUGGUUGUGCAAGGAUAGCGCUUCUACAAUUCCUGUAGACCGUACACUCGUGCAGGAGCUUUGCCAAAGGGUCCCCAUGCCCCCUAAUAACCCCACAGUUUAAUGUGAACCUCAAUGUAAUACAUUGGGUAAAAAAACCGAACAACUGUUAACAAUGGGUAUCUUGGUUCUC